GGACCGUGGGGCCGUCGGCGCCGACGGUGAGCGAGUGCGCGUCGCUCGGUGCCGGGGUGCCGGUCUGGGUCGUGGUGUUCGGUUUCGUCAUGUGCUUCUCC
rnacentral:tRNA from 1 species